ACUCAAAGGAAUAGACGGGGGCCCGCACAAGCGGUGGAGCAUGUGGUUCAAUUCGAUGCAACGCGAAGAACCUUACCUGGGCUCGAACGGCUUCUGACACUCCGUAGAAACAUGGGGUUUCCCGCAAGGGACAGGAGUCGAGGUGCUGCAUGGCUGUCGUCAGCUCGUGUCGUGAGAUGUUGGGUUAAGUCCCGCAACGAGCGCAACCCUUGUCCUGUGUUGCUAAGCCCAAAAGGCUGCACUCUCAGGAGACCGCCAGCGAUAAGUUGGAGGAAGGUGGGGAUGACGUCAAGUCAUCAUGGCCUUUAUGUCCAGGGCUACACACGUGCUACAAUGGUCGGUACAAAGCGCUGCAAACCCGCGAGGGGGAGCUAAUCGCAAAAAACCGAUCUCAGUUCGGAUCGCAGGCUGCAACUCGCCUGCGUGAAGCUGGAAUCGCUAGUAAUGGCAGAUCAGCACGCUGCCGUGAAUACGUUCCCGGGCCUUGUACACACCGCCCGU
rnacentral:rRNA from 1 species